rnacentral:rRNA from 1 species
GGACCCGCACAAGCAGCGGAGCAUGUGGUUUAAUUCGAAGCAACGCGAAGAACCUUACCAAGGCUUGACAUCCCCUGCAUAGUAUGGAGACAUACGAAAUCGUAGCAAUACGACAGGGAGACAGGUGGUGCAUGGUUGUCGUCAGCUCGUGUCGUGAGAUGUUGGGUUAAGUCCCGCAACGAGCGCAACCCCUAUGAAUAGUUGCCAAUAUUAAGUUAGGAACUCUAUUCAGACUGCCGUGGACAACACGGAGGAAGGUGGGGAUGACGUCAAAUCAUCACGCCCCUUAUGUCUUGGGCUACACACGUGCUACAAUGGGUGCUACAAAGAGAAGCGAAGUGGCGACAUGGAGCAAAUCUCAAAAAAGCACUCUCAGUUCAGAUUGUGGGCUGCAACUCGCCCACAUGAAGGAGGAGUUGCUAGUAAUCGCGAAUCAGCACGUCGCGGUGAAUGCGUUCCCGGGUCUU